UGGGGAAUAUUGGACAAUGGGCGAAAGCCUGAUCCAGCCAUGCCGCGUGUGUGAAGAAGGUCUUCGGAUUGUAAAGCACUUUAAGUUGGGAGGAAGGGCAGUAAGCGAAUACCUUGCUGUUUUGACGUUACCGACAGAAUAAGCACCGGCUAACUCUGUGCCAGCAGCCGCGGUAAUACAGAGGGUGCAAGCGUUAAUCGGAAUUACUGGGCGUAAAGCGCGCGUAGGUGGUUCGUUAAGUUGAAUGUGAAAGCCCGGGCUCAACCUGGGAACUGCAUCCAAAACUGGCGGGCUAGAGUAGGGCAGAGGGGGGGGGAAAUUCCUGUGUAGCGGUGAAAUGCGUAGAUAUAGGAGGGAACACCAGUGGCGAAGGCGACCACCUGGGCUCAUACUGACACUGAGGUGCGAAAGCGUGGGGAGCAAACAGG
rnacentral:rRNA from 1 species